rnacentral:rRNA from 1 species
AGGAUCUUGCACAAUGGAGGAAACUCUGAUGCAGCGAUGCCGCGUGAGUGAAGAAGGCCUUUGGGUUGUAAAGCUCUUUCGUCGGGGAAGAAAAUGACGGUACCCGAAUAAGAAGGUCCGGCUAACUUCGUGCCAGCAGCCGCGGUAAUACGAAGGGACCUAGCGUAGUUCGGAAUUACUGGGCUUAAAGAGUUCGUAGGUUGUUAAAAAAGUUGGUGGUGAAAUCCCAGAGCUUAACUCUGGAACUGCCAUCAAAACUUUUUAGCUAGAGUAUGAUAGAGGAAAGCAGAAUUUCUAGUGUAGAGGUGAAAUUCGUAGAUAUUAGAAAGAAUACCAAUUGCGAAGGCAGCUUUCUGGAUCAUUACUGACACUGAGGAACGAAAGCAUGGGUAGCGAAGAGGAUUAGAUACCCUCGUAGUCCAUGCCGUAAACGAUGUGUGUUAGACGUUGGAAAUUUAUUUUCAGUGUCGCAGCGAAAGCAUUAAACACACCGCCUGGGGAGUACGACCGCAAGGUUAAAACUCAAAUGAAUUGACGGGGACCCGCACAAGUAGUGGAGCAUGUGGUUUAAUUCGAAGAUACGCGCAGAACCUUACCAACACUUGACAUGUUCGUCGCGACUUUAAGAAAUUAAAGUCUUCGGUUCGGCCGGACGAAACACAGGUGCUGCAUGGCUGUCGUCAGCUCGUGUCGUGAGAUGUUGGGUUAAGUCCCGCAACGAGCGCAACCCUCACUUUUAGUUACCAUCAUUUAGUUGGGUACUCUGAAAGAACUGCCAGUGAUAAGCUGGAGGAAGGUGGGGAUGACGUCAAGUCCUCAUGGCCCUUACGUGUUGGGCUACACACGUGCUACAAUGGCAUCUACAAUAGGAAGCAAGAUGGCGACAUUGAGCAAAUCCUAAAAAGAUGCCUCAGUUCGGAUUGUACUCUGCAACUCGAGUACAU